rnacentral:rRNA from 1 species
ACGCUCGACACCUACGGGAGGCAGCAGUGAGGAAUAUUGGUCAAUGGGCGCUAGCCUGAACCAGCCAAGUAGCGUGAAGGAUGAAGGCUCUAUGGGUCGUAAAACUUCUUUUAUAUAAGAAUAAAGUGCAGUAUGUAUACUGUUUUGUAUGUAUUAUAUGAAUAAGGAUCGGCUAACUCCGUACCAGCAGCCGCGGUAAUCUGAGCGGGCUGGCAAGC